GCGUCUGUAGCUCAACUGGAUAGAGCGUCGGACUUCGGAUCCGAAGGUUGUGGGUUCAAAUCCCACCAGAUGCGCCA
rnacentral:tRNA from 7 species